rnacentral:tRNA from 1 species
GGAUCAUUAGCUCAGUUGGUAGAGCACCUGACUUUUAAUCAGUGUGUCCCGUGUUCGAGUCACGGAUGGUCCACCA